UACGUAGGGACCAAGCGUUGUUCGGAUUUACUGGGCGUAAAGGGCGCGUAGGCGGCAUGACAAGUCACUUGUGAAAUCUCUGGGCUUAACCCAGAACGGCCAAGUGAAACUGUCAAGCUAGAGUGCGGAAGGGGCAAUCGGAAUUCUUGGUGUAGCGGUGAAAUGCGUAGAUAUCAAGAGGAACACCUGAGGUGAAGACGGGUUGCUGGGCCGACACUGACGCUGAGGCGCGAAAGCCAGGGGAGCAAACGGG
rnacentral:rRNA from 1 species